rnacentral:rRNA from 1 species
CAUUAGGGUGAAAGCCCUAUUCUAGCAAUAGACUUCAUACGAGGUGCUGCAUGGCUGUCGUCAGCUCGUGCCGUGAGGUGUUAGGUUAAGUCCUGCAACGAGCGCAACCCCUGUUUCCAGUUGCCAUCAAGUAAAGUUGGGGGACUCUGGGAGAGACUGCCUGCGCAAGCAGAGAGGAAGGUGGGGAUGACGUCAAGUCAGCACGGCCCUUACGUCCAGGGCUACACACGUGCUACAAUGGCCGGUACAGAGGGCAGCGACCUGGUGACAGGUAGCGAAUCUCCAAAGCCGGUCUCAGUUCGGAUCGGAGUCUGCAACUCGACUCCGUGAAGCUGGAUUCGCUAGUAAUCGGAUAUCAGCAAUGAUCCGGUGAAUACGUUCCCGGGCCUU